rfam:Pediococcus pentosaceus ATCC 25745, complete genome.
AUGAAAGCAAUGAGAAGAUGAGUAGUCUCAGAACGGUAUUGAGAGAGUUCACAUUUGAUGAGAGUGAAUUGCCGGGAAUUGAUGAAUAUGGUCUUUGAGCUGGGGGUUAUUGAGCCGUUAGCAAAAUAACCUGGUGAACGCACCUUAUAGCGUAAUAGUUCAAUGAAUCCUCAUUGUUUAUAAAACAAUGGGAUUGUCAGUUUUUUUGGACUUGAUAAGUCACUUAGCGCAAGUUAUGUGAAAAUUAAGGUGGUAACACGGCAAUAUCGUCCUUAUA